UACGUAGGUGGCAAGCGUUGUCCGGAUUUAUUGGGUUUAAAGGGUGCGUAGGUGGGUAGGUAAGUCAGCGGUGAAAUCCCCGAGCUUAACUUGGGAACUGCCAUUGAUACUAUCUGUCUUGAAUACCUUGGAGGUGAGCGGAAUAUGUCAUGUAGCGGUGAAAUGCUUAGAUAUGACAUAGAACACCAAUUGCGAAGGCAGCUCACUACACGGUCAUUGACACUGAGGCACGAAAGCGUGGGGAUCAAACAGG
rnacentral:rRNA from 1 species